rnacentral:lncRNA from 1 species
UGAGUUGUGAUGAUGGAGAGAGAAAACAGUAAAUAUGUUUGAUUUAAUGUCUCUCAGUUCUUCCUUAUGCCUUCAAUUUUGCAUUGUUCUUUUGGAUUCGUUUAUCUUUUCAUUAUCUUCACCAUUUGAUCUAUCCUCAUUUUGGAUUAUUCACUGAAUAGGACGUAAAAGUUGUGUAUUAAAUAGACAGCAGAGGACUACUAGAAAUCUUUAUUUACAGAAGCUACCAUUAUUGGUUAGUUCGUCAAGAAUGAGUGGUCGGAAUAUACUCUAAGAUGGCUUAAACUUGGCUUUGGGAGGACUAAAUGGGGAAAAUAAGCUCAACUGGUCAAAUUAAUGUGACAGGAUGGCACAGUUUUUAUGAAGAUGAUUGAGAUAUAUUCCAUAUUUUGAUGUUUAAACAUUUAGCCACAGAAAUAUUUUUCAUUUAAUUUAUUCCUUUUACCAAGAUUCCUUGUUCUACAUGCAUGUGAACAUCUCUAUAUUUGUUAUGUUUGCAAUGCUUGAAGGUGAAUCUGUAUAAAGAAUUUAAACAUAAAUAUUCUUCUGACAUUUAGCCACAGGAAUAAUUUUCAUUUAAUUUAUUCCUAUUACCAAAAUUCCUUGUUCUACACGGAUGUGAAACUAUCUAUAUUUGUUAUGUUUGUAAUGCGUGUAGGUGAAUCUGUAUAAAGAAUUGAAACAUCAAUAUUUUUCUAGAAAAGAGCUAUAUGUUACAUGUAUUUUUUUUUACUGUGAGAGCAUGUGGUGUAUUUUGUUGUGUGAAUUAUACUUGCUGAAAUAUGGUGGUGGUCAUGAAUACUGAUCUUUGGAUUAUUUAAUUGCAUGCAUGACAUAGCUACCUGUUUAUAACAUGUGUUCUGUUGGAUGUGUUUCAAAUGAUUGACAAGGUUUUAUAUUUCAUUCUUAUCUGCAAAAACAUAAAUUGCAUACUUUGUGAAUUAGAAUACAAUGCAUAUGGAAAACAAAGCAGUCAAGUAAUCUGCAUGCUGAAUGUGUGCCUGACUUUGUUUUUUGGGUAGGAGAGUCUAAAUUCUUAAUGCAUUAUGAUAAGACAAGGUGAGUUGUAAGAAACCAUUUUGAGAAGUAUAACUACAUUUAUGUACUUCCAACCUCAUAGUAGCUUCCCAGGGCAUAGCUGACCAUACAUAAAAACCAACAUACCAUUGUAUUUGUAUUCAAAUCGAUUGGUAGGAUAAUUAACUUCUCUAGUUGGUUGAAAUUAUGAUAGCAGUUUAUUUUCUCUUUUCUAGGUAAAAUUUCAUGCUAUUGCUAGGUGUCGUGAAUUAAAUGCAAGAAUCUCUUCUUGCUUUUCUUUUCUCCUUGUGUAUACUUCUGUGAAUUUUGGUAAUUGCCCUAUAGAGCACAAUCUUUUUGAGGCCUUCAUGCCAUUGUUAUCUUUUGUAACAUUUCGAAAGAAGUGAGAGUGUGACUAAUUAAACAGAUCGUGCAGUUCUUUCAGAUUAUUAUUCCUGCUUUAUUUUGUUAAAUCUUGAGCACUUCCUAAUUGAGGACUUUUACUAUGUCAUUCUCAAGUUCCUGAUUUAUGUUAUUUUCUUGUUUGUCUUAGUAACUAUGAUAAAAUAGUUUGCUUCCUCUAUUAGGUCAGACUCUAUUGUUAGUGUCAUAUAGUUUCAUGUAAAGAAUGGGUAGCCUAGUGGAUGAGAUCUCGAUCAAUUUUGCUAGUGUUAGAUAUGCAUGUGAAAUAUAUUAUCAAAGUUGCUCAUAGCUUAGAACACAAAAGUUACUUCAUUAGUUUUACUGAAUUUGUUCUACUUAGUCCUUGAGAUGUGUGGCUUUUCAUUUUUGCACUGCCUUCUUGCAAACCUUAAUAUCUAGAUUCUGCAUGUUUUAAUUGGUUAGUAAAUAAAAGGUCUGCAUGAUCUUGCAACCUUAAGUUGUUAAAGGCUGUAAGAAGAUCUUUUUCCAAGGUACAAAAACAUAUGAAAAAAAUGAAGAACCGAUUAGCUUGACUACACAAACCCCAUUUUCUCGGCCAAAAUUUAUCUUUGCAACCAUUAUAAGGUUCAGUUAUACUCAUUCAGCCCUUGAUUUCACUCAGCUUCCUUCAAAAUGAUUUGAAGGGUAGACGCACACUGUGUUCUACGUCAUGCUAAUCGGCUAGUAGUAUUUAGGGACCAAUUUUUCUGAACCACUUCAAUUCUAGUCCAUGAUGAAAUUACUGUUUUAUCAGCAAAGAACACACUGUGAGUGCAAUCUGAUGCUCUUGCAAGUUCAAACUCUGGUUAUCGGAGGAUCUUGUUCUCAUCUAGCCUAUUUACUGUCGGUAAAGUAUUACACCUUUCAGUUUUGAGUUUUAGGGCUCAAUGAAGCCAAGUUAUAGUUAAUGUUGCAGAACUUUAUACAGUGUCUCCUUUAACGGCAUAUACACCACCUGCAUCAUAUUUUCUUCAUUGUUCGUCCGAAUUGGUGUAUGCUGCAAUAGUUUAUAUGCACCAAAUUUGAUGUUAUUGGUGUCAUACCAUAAAUUUGUUCAGCUAUCAAUAUAGAACAUCAUUCAUAGUUUAUUACAGCUUGUAGCUUCGUCUUCAAACAAUCAAAGCACCCACAGUGACGCAUAAUGUGGCUUUCUUCAUGUAGAACAGGGUGGAUCUACUUACGAAAGAAAAGAAGGCAUCGACCCAUCUACUUGAUGGUGGACUUCCGGGGGUUCCAAGAGCGCGCUCACCCACCCUCGUUCUUCACCAUGUGGAGCAAGAAGUCGUUCCACGUGUCGAUGGGCCCCGGCAGGCACCAGUGCACGCAGUCGUUGUACAUCGGCACGUUCUCGUGCGGCAGGUGGCCGUACCGGCUGGGGUGCCCGUCCGGCCUCAGCAGCAUCGCAUCCGUGGUGUCCAGCAGCCGGAACCUGACGCCCUUCUCCCGUCCUUCCCUCUGUGCCUCCCGGAACUCCUCCACCUGCGUCAUGUACAUCUUGAGGUUGAUGCCGUCCAGUCUCGUCUCGUCGCGGCGGAACGGCUGCCGCCGAACGCAGUCCCCCCCGUUGUCCCACGUGCCGUUCUCGAAGUGCCACGGCGAGAACGUCCGCAGGAACACCGUCCCCCUGAAUCCUUCGAGGCUGUUGAAGACCCGGAACGCCGCCCGGAACACCCGCCGGUAGCUGUAGUGCAUGGUCAGGUCGGUGACGUUCGGGGCCAGGCAGUUGUGGCAACCGACGAGCUGGCCGCCCUCGUAGAACAUGGUCGGCCGUAAAAGCCAGUGCCCGGCCGACAUGAUCACGUAGUCGAACUCCGUCAUCUUGGUGGUCCAGUUGGUGUCGGGCUCGUCCAGGUACAGGUUGAACAUGCCACUGUACGUGGAGGCAUUGGGGUCGACUUUGUGGGCCCUUACCAGGAACGGUGACCAGAAGCUGGCGACGGUGAAGUUGUGGGUGGGGAAGUAAUACCGUCGGAAAUUGUCGUCUUGGGUGACGGAGGCAUCCACCACGUACGUCACCUGCAGAUGCAUUUAAGGAGAAGCCUUAUGCUGCAAUGGUUGAGAGCAUCUGAAGUAGCAGUACAGUUGAUGUUCUUAUCAUUCUCUAUUGGUUGCAGGUCACUCGUUACUGAAAGUGCGGCUUUGCUACACGUUAGGGAGACACCAGAGAGAAUAAGACGAAGACUGGAAAGGGACAACUCACUCUGAGGAGGAGACAGAUGAGGGACUGCAUUUGGUUCCUCCCCAAGGAGUCGCUGACGAACGCCAGGGACUUCCCCCUAACGAGCUCCAGGAACUGCGCCGGGUUGAAGACCGGCAGCUCGCAGUGGGUCGGUUUCCACCUCCACUUCAUGAAGCCCGUGUCGGGCCUCCCAAACUUCAUGCAAUUCUGGUGCUCUUGGAUGGCCCUGCAGCUCUCGUUGGUGUAGUACGGCGCGUUAGGGUUCGGAACCCACUCCCCUCGGAAGAUGUCACACGAAUGCUGUGCCACUCCCAGACCGGCAAUGGAAUCACGAGCCAUAUCACUCGAAGAAGACGAAGAAGAAGAAGAUGAUGAUGAAGAAGAGGACUGGCUUCUCCAUGCAAGUGAUGUGGCUAACAAAGGGAAGAGAUAUAGAGGAAUGAUGGUGAGGAGGAGGGUUGCAGUCAGAAGAAGAACGAUCCUAGAGGUUUUCCGAAGGCUCGUUUUGCUUCCAUUCUGAAGCUCCCGACCUGAGUUACCCUUCAUGGGGGGAGAUAGAAGCAGCAAAGUUUGGUGCAGGUUGCUUUGUCCUCCGAUACUUGUGUGAAGAAAGGGAGGGAAUGCAGGUAUAAUUCGUUCUCAAAUAAUAAUAACGAGGUACUACUUGCUCAAGAUUAAAUUAAAUAAAAAAAAAUUAUAUUAAAUCAUUUUAAAGGAAAAAUACUUACAAUCUUGAUUGAUUCUUAGACUCUUAGACUUCGAUCCUAUCAGCUUGAAUUCUUUGAGACUUAGAUCUACAUGUAGAUAUCAUCUAUUUAUAGAUGUGAAAUAUAAGAGUUUUUUUAUCUCUAUAAUUCUAUUUAAUUUUAUUUAAAAGGUAAAUCUUCAAUUUAAGACUUUUUAAAAUAUAUUUUAACUUUUUAAGCUCUGAAUUCUUUAUCCAUAUAACUUUAUCUAAUCUUAUUUAAAAGGUAAGAUAUUAAUUUAUAAUCUUUCAAAAUAUAUUUUAACUUCUUAACAUUCCCCCUUACAGUAUAUUUUUGAGAUUACUCUCAGCUUAUUUUGGAAGAUCUUCAAAUGGUUUUUUGAAAAACGAUUUGGUAAAAAUACCUACUAUAUUAUCUUUGUUUUUUAUCUUUGUCACCUUAAUGACCAUUUUUUCUACAAUUUGGAUUUAUAGCCAAUUUUAAGGUAUUUUGAUUUUUACCUUAUAAAAUAAUUGGUUUGUUAAUUAUUUCCAUAAUUAGAUGCCUUAACUAUAUAAAUUCUCGAGUACCAAGUGAGGAAGCUUUGUAUUUUGCUUCAGUUAUAGAAAAAGAGAUCGAUUAUUAUUUUUUACUACACUAUGAGAUACAAGUAAAAUAAUAUAAAAAGACAUAAAAAGAAGUAAAUCUAUGAUUAUCCAAAGUAUCUCCUAGAUCAGUAUUUAUAUAAUCAUGUAAUUCGAGAUGUAUGCCCGUUUUAUAAAAUAAUCUCAAAUAAGGAUAGAAUUCAUAUAUUUUAAAAAAAAUUAUUACAGAAAUCGUAUAAAAUGACUUACAAGAUCAACUGAAAAUGUAAUAUCUAAUCUUAUAAUUGUUAAGUAGAUAAUACUACUAAUAAGAGCAUGAAAAGAUCGAGAGUUAGAAAAUAUUUUCUCAUCAUUAUAAUUUAAUUUUUUAUUUACAUCAAACAGAGUAGAAAUCUUCUUAUUUUUAUUAAUUCCAAACCUUUCAAUAAUUUUCUUUGCAUACCUUGUUUGAGAGAUGAAUAUAUCUUUGUUUGUAUAUCACCGGAUCAAGAAAAAUAUUAAUCUCUCCUAAGAAUUUCAAUUCAAAUUAGAGAGAAAGAUCACCACAAAAUUUUGAAAUCUCUAUUUCAUCGUUAUGGUUGAUGAUCAUAUCAUUCACUUAUAGAAGAACAAUAAUAUAUAGGGUUUCUUAUUUUUUUAAUAAUUAAACUAGGAUAUGAAUAAGAAAAAAAUAACCAUAAAAUUGUAAGUGUUGACUAAUUUUUUUCUGCUCUGAGAGCCUGCUUAACCCACAGAGAGCUUUCUUGAGCAUAUAAAUAUAAUUUGAUUUAGAAAUAAAAGUAUACCUUGAUGGUUGUUUCAUAUAAAUAUCCUUAUCAAUUUUAUCAUAUGGGAAUGCAUUCUUCACAUCAAGUUGCCAAAGCUUUCAUUUAAGAUUGGCUAUCAGAGCAAUCAGCUCACAUAUGUUAUUUUGACCACUGGACUAUAUAUUUCCUCAUAAUCUUCUUUAUAUUUUGAGAAAACCUCUUUGUAAUAAAUCUUGCCUUAUAAUGAUUUAUACUUCCAUCUAACUUAUGUUUCAUCUUAUAAACUCAUUUGCAAGUAAUUAGAUCUAUAUUUGUGAGCUUUGACACAAGAUCCAAAGUUUUAUUUUUAUAAAGAGCAUUCAUUUCUUCACUCAUAUUAUCCUCCUACACUUUAACAUCUUUGGCUUCAUCAAAACAAGUAAGCUUAAAAUCAUUUUUUAUGAAUAUCAUUAAGUCAUCUAUCGUUUUGCUCGAUCAUUAAUGAUGAAGAAAUAACAAUAAUAAACACAUAUAAAGGAAAAAAUGAGCUAAAAUAUAUAAGAACAUUACAUGAUAAAGGAAACUCAACUUAUAUCACUAAUAUUAAAAUUUUUAAAAGAAAUUAUUUAUGAAGAAUAAUAACUAAAAACUUCAUUAAACACAACAUCUCGAGAUAUCAUAUACAUGUAUGAAUCAAUGCAUUUAUAACAUUUCUUCCUUUCAUCACAGUCAAUAAAAAUAUAUUUCUUGGUCUUAAUAUUAAAUUUCCUUCUCUUUGAGUCUGGUAUAUGAACAUAGCAUAGAGAACCAAAUACUCAUGUUUAACAUUUGGUUUCUAACAACGUAAGUUGCACAUGCCAUACCUUGUUCUCAUAAGGCUUUGGAUAAAUUCUUUGCAUGAAACCAACACUUAUAAGUCUCCAUGAGAUGUCAAAAUUUUCAUUCACCUAUAUCAUUUUAUUGUAGCAUAUUUGCACGUGUAAGUUUCUUUUGAUACCAUACUCUUUAUAAAAAGAGAAUAAUAUAUCAGAAGUGAAUUCUCUGCCAAUAUGUAAUCUUUUAAUUUUUUAUUUAAGAGCACUUUCAACUAUUAACUUAAACUUUUAAAAAAAUUUAAAAAAAAAUUGAUUUUUCCUUCACAAAAUAGAUCUAAGUGAACAUUAUAAAAUCAUAAAUAAAGAGAAGCAUAUAACGAGAACUUAAAUAACUAAAGGAUUGCUUGUCAUUUGUAUUGAUGCCGACAUAAAUAUAGAGCGACAUUGUUUAUCCCCUCUUAUUAUCAAUGCUGACACAGAGGCAGAACAACACUACUCUACAUCUGCAUCUAUGUUUAUAUUGAUGUAGAUAUCGAACAUUCCUUUCGCCACUCUACAUUUGUAUUGACAUCGACACAAUUGCCAAGUGGCAUUAAUGUAGAUGCAGAGUAUCGAAAUCUGCAUCACCUUUUUCCUUCUCUUUCUUUGCCUCAUCUAUUAUUGUUACUCUUUCUCCCCAUCGAUAAUAGUCACCUACAACUCUCAUUGGCAUUGUUGUUUAUCAUCACCGAAAAUAUAAUAUGAUAUUAAAAUUAUCCUUUUACCCAUUAUUUUCAUGCUUCCAUUAGUAAAACUAAUAGCGUUAAGAUAAAUAAAAUUAGAUAUUUCACUUUCAUAAUUAUACGAAUUCUAAUGUAUAUUUUUAAAAUUUAUUAAUCAGGAUACUAAAUAAGUCUAACUAGAGAUGGUAAUAUAUAAUUAGUCCCUUCCUUUACUUGUAAAUCUAUAUAAUCAAGGUACAAACUGUCUAGAUAAGUGGAAAUAAGUCCUAUUAAUGGUAUAUGCUAGAUCAAGAAAUCUAAGUUUUCUUCGUACAAUUGGAUUUAUAAAUCUCAAUCUCAAUAAUAGGGUAUUAAUAUCAAUAUUUGCUGACCCAUAAAAUCUGAGGGGCUUUUGUUGCCAAAAGAAAUGGCAACACUAAAUAUUCUAGAGUACCUAUAAAAAUUGAGGGGCAAUCAUUAUAGUACAAGUUUACUACCUCAAUAAGAGGUGGAGAAUCCAUUCACCUCCAUUUCUCUCUUAGUUUCUUUUUCUCGAAUAAGACUCAUGUCAUCAGAAUGAUUACUAGACAUAUGCAUUGGUAUCUGUAUCACCAAAAGGAUUUUACAAUAAAUUUGAAUGUUUGAAUUCAAAGUAUUUGAAAAUCAAUCAUAUACAUUUAUCAAAAGUGAAUACAUCGUGCAUAUAAAGAUGCUUGGUUCAAUUUUAAUAUGUUCCACACUUCGAUACUAGUAUUGUAAAUUAACUUAUCAUGAAUAAUAAANNNNNNNNNNNNNNNNNNNNNNNNNNNNNNNNNNNNNNNNNNNNNNNNNNNNNNNNNNNNNNNNNNNNNNNNNNNNNNNNNNNNNNNNNNNNNNNNNNNNNNNNNNNNNNNNNNNNNNNNNNNNNNNNNNNNNNNNNNNNNNNNNNNNNNNNNNNNNNNNNNNNNNNNNNNNNNNNNNNNNNNNNNNNNNNNNNNNNNNNNNNNNNNNNNNNNNNNNNNNNNNNNNNNNNNNNNNNNNUAUAUAUAUAUAUAUAUAUAUAUAUAUAUAUAUAUAUAUAUAUAUAUAUAUAUAUAUUAUUGAUACAAAUAGACCUUUGUAUAUUUAUGUUUGUAUAGGUGUAAAGUGACUUCCUUUUUAUAAAAGACUUAGAGCUCAAGUCUGAAUGCCACUAAAUAUACCUUUUUAUGUGAUUUUAAUCCAAUGCAUUAAAUACUUUAGAAAUCAACUUAUUAUAAUAAAACAAUACGUGUCAAUGUAUAUUUUUUAGCCAUAGAGAAAUAAAUAGUUGAAUAGGUGUCUUUCCAUAAUAAUGCUUAAAAAAUUUUAAAAAUACUUUAUUGAUUCUUACAAAUAUUAAUGUGUCCCUUUAGAAAACUCAAGCUAAUCACUCCUGGUCAUGAUUAAUUAUAUAUAUCACUGAAGCUGAUCUGACACCGUUGAUCUAGCCGUCCCGAAUCUUGAUGCGACUUACGGGUGGGCGACGAUGUGGUCAUCCUGGCCGGAUCAUGAAUCGGACGGCUCAGCCUUGACCGCAUCAACGUCAACAGCGAUGGAGUGCCACCAAUUUGCCUCACGGCUUUUCCUGUCUCAUCCACGUCGCGAAACACGGGAAGCCUUCACACAGGUGUCGUAUGGCACACUGUGUCUCAGGAUGAUCGGUCAAGUCGAAUGUUCUGUGCCGUGGAUAAGACAGCUGAUAUGAGUACGUCAGAAGAAUCGUGUCGGGAUUUACUCAAACCCAAAAUUUCAUGCGAACCCACCAUCUUUGUUUCUACUGAUAGGAAGGAUGGGUCCCGCAGUGGGUCCCGCAGGAACUAGUUUCGUUUCUCCAAAUAACACACCGGUAAAAGAGUGGGUAGUACGUAGUAGCUCUUCUUGCUCAUGAUGAGCUCAUCCAUCGUCCCCUCUUCAUGGAAGCACAUGUCGCCCGGCUCUUGUGAUCCUCCUCUUCCUCUUCCUCGUCUCUAAUUCCAAUCCGGUCUCCAUUUCGGAUCCAAAGCGGACAACAUGAUUGCCACAGUAAGUGAUCCCCAUCUCGAAUCUCAUAUCUCCUCUCCCUUUUCGUCCUCCUCGCAGCAAUCGAGUGAUCUCUGGACGCAGCGGUUUAUCGAUCUCUUCCUGGCCUUGUCGGUCUCUUUUCGGGGUGGAUUCGAUGGUUUCUUUUCUUGCUGAGGUUACAAAGCCGGAAUCGGUCGAUAAACCUCUGCAUCCGGACUUCCGCCGACAACCAUUCCUCCGUCCUCCCCCCAACCCAAAACACUCCCCCCCCAACCCCACCUUCUUCCUCCACUUGUUUUCGUCAUCUUAUAUAAUGAUUGGGCAAUGAAGAGGUGGUAGCUGUUAGGGCUAAUUGAUACGGCCGAUUCGAUGCCGAUUUCGAUCCCUUUUUUUUACUCAGAUUAUUGUCGGCAUUCUGCAGAAUUUCAAUCAACGAAUAAUGGUGCCAUCAGCAUUUAGAUCGAUUCAAAAUGGGUGACGUCUUGAGUUGUGAUGAUGGACAGAGAAAACAGUAAAUAUGUUUGAUUUAAUGUCUCUCAGUUCUUUCUUAUGCCUUCAAUUUUUCAUUGUUCUUUUGGAUUCGUUUAUCAUUUCAUUAUCUUCACCAUUUGAUCUAUCCAUAUUUUGGAUUAUUCACUGAAUAGGACGUAAAUGUUUUGUAUUAAACAGACAGCAGAGGACUACUAGAAAUCUUUAUUUACAGAAACUACCAUUAUUGGUUAAUUCGUCAAGGAUGAGAGGUCGGAAUAUACUCUGAGAUGGCUUAAACUUUGCUUUGGGAGGACUAAAUGGGGAAAAUAAGCUCAACUGGUCAAAUUAAUGUGACAGGAUGGCACAGUUUUUAUGAAGAUGAUUGAGAUAUAUUCCAUAUUUUGAUGUUUAAACAGUUAGCCUCAGAAAUAUUUUUCAUUUAAUUUAUUCCUUCUACCAAGAUUUGUUGUUCUCCAUGGAUGUGAACCUCCCUAUAUUUGUUAUGUUUGCAAUGCUUGAAGGUGAAUCUGUAUAAAGAAUUUAAACAUAAAUAUUUUUCUAAC